UGGGGAAUAUUGGACAAUGGGCGAAAGCCUGAUCCAGCCAUGCCGCGUGUGUGAAGAAGGUCUUCGGAUUGUAAAGCACUUUAAGUUGGGAGGAAGGGCAGUAAGCGAAUACCUUGCUGUUUUGACGUUACCGACAGAAUAAGCACCGGCUAACUCUGUGCCAGCAGCCGCGGUAAUACAGAGGGUGCAAGCGUUAAUCGGGAUUACUGGGCGUAAAGCGCGCGUAGGUGGUUCGUUAAGUUGAAUGUGAAAGCCCCGGGCUCAACCUGGGAACUGCAUCCAACACUGGCGAGCUAGAGUAGGGCAGAGGGUGGUGGAAUUUCCUGUGUAGCGGUGAAAUGCGUAGAUAUAGGAAGGAACACCAGUGGCGAAGGCGACCACCUGAGCUCAUACUGACACUGAGGUGCGAAAGCGUGGGGAGCAAACAGG
rnacentral:rRNA from 1 species